UACAGAGGGGGCAAGCGUUGUUCGGAAUUACUGGGCGUAAAGGGCGCGUAGGUGGCCUUCUAAGUUGAACGUGAAAUCCCUGGGCUCAACCCAGGAACUGCGUCCAAGACUGGGAGGCUUGAAUCCGGGAGAGGGAUGCGGAAUUCCUGGUGUAGCGGUGGAAUGCGCAGAUAUCAGGAGGAACACCGGUGGCGAAGGCGGGUCUCUGGGCCGAUACUGACGGCUGAGGAGCGAAAGCGUGGGGAGCGAACAGG
rnacentral:rRNA from 1 species